CUUGGUCAUUUAGAGGAAGUAAAAGUCGUAACAAGGUCUCCGUUGGUGAACCAGCGGAGGGAUCAUUACCGAGUUACCAACUCCAAACCCUUGUGAUUUUCGUAUCUGUUGCUUCGGCAGGCGGGCCCAGGGCGGGCUCUGUCAUGCCUGCCGAAAGACCAAACUCUUCUAUCCUGCCCUCUGAAGAAAAGACAAAUAGUUAAAACUUUCAACAACGGAUCUCUUGGUUCUGGCAUCGAUGAAGAACGCAGCGAAAUGCGAUAAGUAAUGUGAAUUGCAGAAUUCAGUGAAUCAUCGAAUCUUUGAACGCACAUUGCGCCCGCCAGUAUCCUGGCGGGCAUGCCUGUUCGAGCGUCAUUUCGACCCUCAGGACCUCCUGGUGUUGGGGCGUCACGGCCACCGUGAGCCCUCAAAGUCAGUGGCGGGCUCUGUCACACACCGAGCGUAGUAAUCUCUCGCUUAGGGGUGUGCCGGGGCGCGGCCUUUUGUGACACAUAUCAAGUUGACCUCGGAUCAGGUAGGAAUACCCGCUGAACUUAAGCAUAUCAAUAAGCGGAGGA
rnacentral:rRNA from 1 species